GGGCCUGUGAUGCAACUAGGCAGACAUACUGCGUUCAGACCGCAGGUCUUUGGGGGUUCGACUCCCUCCAGGCCCACCA
rnacentral:tRNA from 1 species